CAGCCGCCACGGGAAUACGUAGGGUGCGAGCGUUAAUCGGAAUUACUGGGCGUAAAGCGUGCGCAGGCGGUUGUGUAAGACAGGUGUGAAAUCCCCGGGCUUAACCUGGGAACUGCGCUUGUGACUGCACAGCUAGAGUAUGGCAGAGGGGGGUGGAAUUCCACGUGUAGCAGUGAAAUGCGUAGAGAUGUGGAGGAACACCGAUGGCGAAGGCAGCCCCCUGGGCCAAUACUGACGCUCAUGCACGAAAGCGUGGGGAGCAAACAGGAUUAGAUACCCCCGUAGUCCCUGUCUCUUAUAC
rnacentral:rRNA from 1 species